rnacentral:rRNA from 1 species
GACGAACGCUGGCGGCGUGCUUAACACAUGCAAGUCGAACGGAAAGGCCCUGCUUUUGUGGGGUGCUCGAGUGGCGAACGGGUGAGUAACACGUGAGUAACCUGCCCUUGACUUUGGGAUAACUUCAGGAAACUGGGGCUAAUACCGGAUAGGAGCUCCUGCUGCAUGGUGUGGGUUGGAAAGUUUCGGCGGUUGGGGAUGGACUCGCGGCUUAUCAGCUUGUUGGUGGGGUAGUGGCUUACCAAGGCUUUGACGGGUAGCCGGCCUGAGAGGGUGACCGGCCACAUUGGGACUGAGAUAGUGCCCAGACUCCUACGGGAGGCAGCAGUGGGGAAUAUUGCACAAUGGGCGGAAGCCUGAUGCAGCAACGCCGCGUGCUGGAUGACGGCCUUCGGGUUGUAAACCGCUUUCGCCUGUGACGAAGCGUGAGUGACGGUAAUGGGUAAAGAAGCACCGGCUAACUACGUG